UACAGAGGGUGCAAGCGUUGUUCGGAAUUAUUGGGCGUAAAGGGCGCGUAGGCGGUGCGGUAAGUCUGCGGUGAAAUCUCCCGGCUCAACUGGGAGGCUGCCGUGGAAACUGCCGUGCUUGAGUGUGGGAGAGGUGAGUGGAAUUCCCGGUGUAGCGGUGAAAUGCGUAGAUAUUCGGAGGAACACCAGUGGCGAAGGCGGCCCACUGGCUCGACACUGACGCUGAGGUGCGAAAGCGUGGGGAGCAAACAGG
rnacentral:rRNA from 1 species